rnacentral:sRNA from 1 species
GCUGGGCACAGUGGCACAUGUCUGUAAUCCCAGUGACUCAGGAGGCUGAGGCAGGAGAAUGGCAAGUUCAAGGCUAGCCUCAGCAACUUCAUGAGGCCCUAAGUAAUUUAGUGAGAACCUGUCUCAA